rnacentral:tRNA from 1 species
GCCUGGUGCAAAUGGUUAACAUGCUUGGCUGCUAACCAAAAGGUUGGUGGUUCAAGUCCACCCGGAGGCA